rnacentral:lncRNA from 1 species
CCCAGAGUCUGAAAGCCCACGAACGGGAAGACACUGCAACUUCCGGGUUAGCGAAGAAGGUGAGGGUAGAAGAGACAGAUCCGGCCGCAUUUCACCUUGAUGGCCUAGAGCCCGCGCUUAUAGCAUAUCCUCGACCGCGAGGGAUUCCUAGUGCGCGUCAUCGCGAGGGGAAACCUAACCUCAGGAAGAAGGUCAUGCCCACCGUCACUGUGAGGGGGAACCUGACCUCAGAAAGAAGG